GGAUGUGCUAUCCCGUUUGAAAUAAGUUUUCUACAGGUACGACCAAACUUCAAAACCAAAUCUUUAUAUCUAUGGAAAAAUUUAGUAAAGGUUUUAAGUAAUUUAUGGUAACGAUAUCCCUGGUUUAAUAAUUUACCAGUACUACAUAGGUUGCGUUCGUUAAAAUCAAAAACGUCACAACAGACACGGGCAUAGCGAACAAGUUGUGACAUAUAUACACCGUAAGAUGGUGCCAAAGGAACAUCUUCAUCUAAAAAUGGAAAAUUAACAAUAGGGAACGAAAAGUCGUCUCUUUUGUCGUAAAUUUUUAGUGUGGAGUUUCCCGUUUAAAACCGAAAUAUCUAAAUCCAGGAAAGGACAGUUAUUACCGAAUAAAUUUGAUUUAUUUAAAGUAAGUUUUUUUGGUGUAAAUUUCCGCAGUAUAUUGAGAAAAUUCUUGAUUAUUUAACGAAAAAAAAUAUCAUCAAGAUAACGGUAAGUGUUGUUGAAUUUAUCAAUUAAAUGUAAUUUCGACGGGUCUUUACUGAGUUUAGUCAUGAACUGUGAUUCGUAACAGUACAAAAACAAGUCUGUUAUUAAAGGGGCACAAUUAGUGUCAAUGGGGAUACCUACAACCUGUCGAUAAACAUUGUUGCCGAAACGUACAUAAAUAUUAUCAAGGAGAAAAUUAACAGCUUCAAUCAUCUCAUCACACCUCCAGUAAGUAUAUCUAGCAUAUUUAUCUUUCUCAUUAGAGAAGAAGGCUUUAAAUGAGUUGCAGCAAAUAUAUCUACAUUCUAGCUUUACCAAACGACCAUUUAAUUAUAUAGGAAAACUUUUGUUUAAUAAGAUAGUGUGGAAGUGUAGUGUAAAGAGUAGAAAAAUCAAAACUAUUAACAGAAUCAAAAGGACCAUCAAAAGCACGUAAUUUAUCUAAAACAUCCAAAGAAUUUUUUACACUCCAAAAAUGGUUUAUACCACUAUGUUCAUAUAUUUUAUUACAAUAGUUUAUGAUAAGCAUUCCAUGCCUACUAACUUUAUAUCAAAUUCUCACUACCACAUCCCCCCUUUUCGAAAAGUAAAAAAUAUUAUACAGGGAUGAUAAAAUAUUCAAGUAGGUUAACUAUCAGUUAUGAAUAAUUUGAUAGGUGUUUCAUUCACAAUCAUGUCUCUAUACCUUUAUAUGUAAGCAAAGCAAACAUUUUAAAUAUCUGUUCUAAAUUUAGGACAAGUAUAAAAGUUUAAAUUUUAGGACGACACAUUUUUUUAUGUUCAAUGUUUACAGCAUUCGAUGAUCGUCAUUGGAUAUAACACUCCUACGGAUUAUAUACGUAAUCAGGAAAAAAAACUUAUCACCUACAAGUACAACUUCCUAAUUUUCAGAGGCGAUUCAGUUUCUUCAGUACAUACAAAAAAUGUAAGUAAACAUAGUAAACAUAGAUUAUCAUUACUUCCAAUAUGACUUCACACACAGAUAAUCAAACUGCUGUAUGUGUUCAUUAGUUAAAUGAAGUAAGUCGAUUGUUUGUUGUUCCUUUAGGUCGGAUAUCGUGUUGACGUCAUUAUUUAGAUGACAUGUUAUAGUUCUAAUAUAUAUAAUAGACAUUAGUUUUGAACGAAUACAUUAAGACAAUACGGUUAUAACAUUGAAAUAUUCAACUGCGGAUGAUUCAGGGGGUACUCCCCACGUUGACUGGGAAAUAUAUCUUAUUAUUAAAAAUCGUGAGAAAAAAAAUUUCACCUCAUUACACUCACCAGUUCUUCGUUUUAAGGAAUUUUGCCCGUUUACAAAAUAAACUAUAUUUUACUAUUAAGCUUUUUUUUUUUAUCAAAACAAAGUGAUAUCAAAUACAAAUAUACUAGUAGAACAAUAAAUUAUAUUAAGGAACAAUAUUUUGUAUUUAAACUAAAGGACGCAGUAUCUUAUUAUUUCAGAAAUUAUCAGUGAAUAUGGCAAACAGACAAAGGUUUCCAGAUGGAGCAAUUGUUAUGACAUCUUUAGAGCUGGAUGGGUUUCUUUUGUUUAUUUCAAGGCUCACUACAAGUAAUGAUCUAACGAAGUUUUCAGAAGCUUUAUCUUCUAAUCCUCUACAUCUAUAUGUAAAAUUACAAAAGAUAAAAAAUGCAAUGGAUGCUGAAACAAUGCUUGUUGAUACUAUUUUGUCUAAACAUACCCUUUCGGAGAUUGUUGCUACACUGUACAAUAGCAAAUAUAGCUAUUUGGCAGAGAUAUUGUUCUGUUGUUAUCAACAAUGUCAACAGAAAGCAUCUAUAAUCCGUAUGAACAAGACACAAACAGAAAACCGAAGAAAAAUAAGUUUAUAUUUCAGAGAUAUCAAGAAACUUGUACAUGAUAUAGCAUUUAAAAAUCCACAUGCAGAUGUUAACAGACUCAGUAAUAUAAUGAAACUGAAUAUUGAAAGAGAAAUAAAUCCUGUUCGAAAGAUGUAUCUCUGUGACAAAUAUACUGCUCUAAAAGCAGCUGAAAUGGACGCUUUAAUCAAUAUCACUGGACGUGU
rnacentral:lncRNA from 1 species